GUAGGUGGCAAGCGUUGUCCGGAAUUAUUGGGCGUAAAGCGCGCGCAGGUGGUUCUUUAAGUCUGAUGUGAAAGCCCCCGGCUCAACCGGGGAGGGUCAUUGGAAACUGGGGAACUUGAGUGCAGGAGAGGAAAGUGGAAUUCCACGUGUAGCGGUGAAAUGCGUAGAUAUGUGGAGGAACACCAGUGGCGAAGGCGACUUUCUGGCCUGUAACUGACACUGAGGCGCGAAAGCGUGGGGAGCAAACAGGGAUUAGAUACCCUGGUAGUCCACGCCGUAAACGAUGAGUGCUAAGUGUUGGGGGGGUUUCCCGCCCCUCAGUGCUGCAGCUAACGCAUUAAGCACUCCGCCUGGGGAUACGGUCGCAAAGACUG
rnacentral:rRNA from 1 species